GCAAGUAACAGACCUAACACAUCUCAACUAUCACUUCCCUCUUUCUAUACCCUCCCCUGCUGACUACUUCAAAGUGUCUCCAGGAGAAGUCGUAAUACCGUGAUGCUGGCAUGCAGACCAUGAGCUGACCAUUGGAGAACAACUGUCUUCUCACUUCGUGCCACCUGGAAAAUCCACCCUUUUUUGCCUCCACUCAGUGCUGCUCUGACCUUGAGAGCAAGGUCAGGAGGGAGAAUGCUGAGAUGAAACCUUGUCACCGCUCAUUCAGUGUUCUGCACAGAGAUGCUGGGAGGCCCAGGGAUGCCCCGCGUCUCAGUUUCUCCGGAGUGAAUUGUAGUCAGAACCAUUCAGCUAGCAGUUAUCAACCACCAACUAGAUGGCAGGCCCUGGGCUGUACUUCACACGUGUUUUUUCACUUAGUUCUCGAAGCAGCCCCUAUCAGGCACGGCUGAAGAGGGUGUGUACGUGAUCUGCAUCUACAAAGAACACCUGACUUAUUAAGAAAUCUCUACUCUUCGAGCCAAGAAAUGUUACCAAGGGCCCACAACGACCGGUGCAUCGGCCCUGCUUUUCUUCCUGAGCGGGACUCCUGGAAGACUGUGUCCCUUGGUGCUCUCCCCACUCAGAGAUUCCUCUGCUGCUCAGCAGGCAACAUAAGCCACACCCAACAGUAUCUUUUGUAUUUGUUAGCAUUUAUUGAGUGUUUACUGUGUGCCAUGCACGGCACCUAGUAUUUCCCCGCAUUGUCUCAACUGAUACGAUAACCGAAUCACCCAGGUAGCAUUUGCAUCCCUAUUUUAUACACAAGUAACCAAGCCUGGAGAACUGAAGAGUCCACCAGAGGUCAUAUGUCACCAAUGGUGAAACCUGGAUUUCAACCCAGGCCUUCAGACUCCAGAGACUGUGUGCUAACCCCUGGUAUACACUGCCUCCCCAAAGACUACUUACAGGGCCCUCCAAGUGCACAUGAAAGGGGACCUUCGGAGGCUUCUGUUGUUCCGAUUUGAGCAGGAAAGCAUGCACACGUUCAAUGGAAGUGCAAACUUUACAAGUAGCCCUUUUGCAUUUCGUUAAAGGUUGCUGUGCCUGUGGCAUUUCUCCUCAAUGGGCCAUAAGCUCCGAAAGGGCAGGAACUGUGUGGGGUAUUUUUUGUGUCUCUCACACCUAGCAAAGUGCCUGGCAUCCAGCAGGUGUUUUGGAAAUGUGUUUCAAAGAGGGCAGUGAGGAUAAUGAUAAUAAUGAUGCUGCAUCCUGGGCCCGGUUGACCUUUCUAGCCCGGCUUCCCACACUUCUCCUUCAGGCGGUCUAUGUACCAGCCGAGCUGACCUCUCCCAGUCCCAAAGACACACCAAGGUUUUUGCACCUGUGUGCCUUUGCCCACAAUGUGGCCUCCACCUGGAAUGUUGUCCUCUGCUCUCCCAAGCUUCCUUCAGGGCCCAUCUCAAAUACCACCUCCUCAAGGAGGCCUCUUGGGCUCUUCUCUCAGCUAGAAAUAAUCUCCCAUCUCUCUGAACUCCCUUAGCUCCUGUUAGUUCCUUCCCUUCCUCCCCCUCCUUCUUCUCAGUGUCUUAAUGUGAUGCUGAAGUGAGCUAAUGUUCUAGAAAGCUCUUUGUAAGCCAGAAGGCAAUAUCCAAACAUGAAGGCUUAUGCUCAUAGCUCAUCGACUAAGGAAUAAGAUUGUCAACGGCGUCAGGUUCAACAUUACCCCGCACAGGACCUCACACACCCAAGGCACAAGGAGCUUUUGCUGAAAGCCUGUCUGCAGGCUUCUCUCCCUCUUCCUUGGAGCCACGUUUACGCCCUUCCAAUCAGGCUGAGGUGACUUUCAUCAGACCAAAGUAAAGUCUUAUUAGGAAUGAAUUAGAAAACCAUGAGAAAGGAAAAAAUGGGACUGUCUACUGAACACCCCUGCCUAAGGAUUUUCAGGUGCACUAAACUGGAUUUCCAAGCCUCCUUUGCAGUGAGGUGUUGCCAUGCGAGUGAGUUUAAACGAUGGACUGGGAGCACCUCUUCUAGGUCUGGGCCCAAGAAAUCUCCUUCUAGCAACAUCUAGUUGUUUCCAGAUGACCUGAGAAGCCACAAUUUAAAGAUGACAGAAUUUGACUGUGUGGAUUCCAGCUGCCAAAAGGACUUCACAUAAGAGAGAAACUAACUUCUAUUGUUCAACCUACUCAGAUCUGGCAGCUUGUCUUCUAUAACCACCAGCAUUGCCCUAACUAAUACAGUAUAACCCAGUUCCAUGUAUCUAUGGCUCCCGAUGCUGAAUAGGUGCUAUACUUUAGAGACAGUAAAGAGGAUUUGAGUAGAAGAAGUCCGAGCCCAGGUUCAAGAGACUUGGC
rnacentral:lncRNA from 1 species